AUGUAGGGCAAUCUGUCUUUAAGUAGGGAUAAAUUAUUCUAAAAGAAAUGAAAUCCAGAUAGUUUUCCCUUCAAAUCAAGAGUCCUUC
rnacentral:pre_miRNA from 1 species